rnacentral:rRNA from 1 species
AGGUCUAACCUGCCCAAUGAGGAAUUAAAUGGCCGCAGUAUUUUGACUGUGCAAAGGUAGCAUAAUUAUUAGUUUUUUAAUUGAAAGCUUGUAUGAAGGGUUGGACGAGAUAAAAUCUGUCUUUAUUUAAAUUAUUAUAGAAUUUAACUUUUAAGUCAAAAGGCUUAAAUGUAUGUAAAAGACGAGAAGACCCUAUAGAUCUUUAUUUAACUAAUAUUUUGAUAAUUUAGGAUUAUUUUAGUUUAAAGUUUUAGUUAAAUUUUAUUGGGGUAAUAUAAAGAUUAAAUAAAUUCUUUUUAUUUAUUACAUUGAUUUAUGAAUAUAUGAUCCGAUAUUAUUGAUUAUAAGAUUAAGUUACCUUAGGGAUAACAGCGUAAUUUUUUUGGAGAGCUCAUAUCGAUAAAAAAGUUUGCGACCUCGAUGUUGGAUUAAAAAUUAGCUUGGGUGCAGAAGCUCAAGAUUUUGGUCUGUUCGACCAUUAAAUUUUUACAUGAUCUGAGUUCAGACCGGCGUAAGCCAGGUCGGUUUCUAUCUUUACUUAUCUAAAAUAUUUUAGUACGAAAGGACCAAAUAUUUAAUAUAAUUAUAUUUAUUUUUUGAAUAAUAUU